rnacentral:lncRNA from 10 species
CCCUUACCACACCCCCUUUUCCUCUCUUCCACAAGCACAACCCUUCUUCAGACGUCCAUAUACACUUCUCCCAAAAUCCUGUGCUUAACACAUUGUUACUGAGCACACAGGCGUGCUGGGGCAAGCGACGCCUGGGAAUAUGAAGCGAACGCCACACACUAGAACGCGCCCUGGGAGCUGGCCUCCGGUGGGGGACGCAGGUGUUGAAGACAUAACCGCAUGACCGAGAAACCUCAGUUUUGCUCUGAAGGCCUUCAACUGCCCGGCCGAGGCUCACCCACACCAAGGGGAAUCCCUUCUCUUAAAGUCAACUGAUGGUAGAUGUCAACCACAGCUACAAAACACCGUCACAGCAACACCUGGGUUAGCGUUUGAUUGAAUAAAUGUGACUGGAGCCUGGCCAAGUUGAUACAUAAAAUCAACCGGCACAUUCCUUUUAGAAAAUAAUCAUCAUAAUUACACGCUCUGCUGUCAUCCUGACCUGCAAACCCUCCUAGGGGCAAAGAAGUUUGUUUUGUUUAUUUGUUUCCUGGAUGCAAAGAAUCUGUUGAUUUCUCCAAGCCUGGCGCUGGCUGAAAUUGUCCCAGCCAACACUGAAGCUGCCUAGAAGGUGGCUGCAGUUUUGGGGUGGCACCGGAAAGGGCUCUUUUAAGGAGCCACCAGCACCUUCGCCUCAAAAUCAAGAACAAUACCAGGCCCCAUGCCAGCCACAGGAGUAAUUAGGCCAGAUGGUUUCAAGGCAGAAAUUCCAGUAGUCCCUGAAAUGCUAUAAAUCGAGCCACAGACAGGAGGUGUGGUGACUUGACAGCAAUUUCUCCCCAAGGCAAGGCCUCCGCGGCAUCACAGCCAGCCUUCCCUCCAUUCCACUGCAGAAAUAAAUGAAGUUAUGGAUGUUGGUGUUUCUUUGCGGUGAAUCAAAUGGAUUCCCUGUGAAUGCUGUUUGAUAUUCUUCUUGAUCAUGUCAACUAGACAGAAUGUGUCUUUCUAGCAUUUGUUUUUCAAAAAAAGAUGUGUGAAAUAGGAAUUUUCACAUAAUUCCUGAACAGGUUUUGGUGGCAGUGGUGUUUGUUUUCCAAAAGCCGGGACAGGAACUGCAGAGCCUUCUAGUGCUUUCCUUCAUCUUCUCCCCAGUGCAGCCGGAACUCGCCCCUGGGGUGGCCCACUCUCCCCCACUGAGAGCAGCAGAGACAGCCAGCUGCACAGGCUCGGGAUGUGGGCUGGGAGAAUGCUCCCCCGUGAACUCACAAGCACAUGUUAGGUGCUGUGGAUACAAGAAGCCCAGUCAUAUGGAGAGUAUGUGGUUGGGCGGCCAGGCUUUGGAGCCAGUGGCCUGACUUGUUGUCCCAGCUCUGCCACUCCCUGGCUUUGUGACCUGAGGCAAGGUUGGUAUUUCUCUCUGCUUCCAUAACAUGGGAUAACAGUGGCACCCACUUCAUAGGGCAGUGAGGGAUUGAUGUAUAAAUACAGGUAGUCUGCAGAAGCUCACCUGGCAGACAGUGGGCACCCAGCAGACGCUAGUAAUUUAACUCUGCUGAUAAGGCCCCUUGUUAAGCAGAUGACAGGCAAAGUGAAUCAUGUAUACACCUGAGGACAGGAACACCAUUUUGCAAGUGAGGAAUAAGGCUUAAGAAAAAAAGAACCAGGCUGGGCGUGGUGGCUCACACCUGCAAUCCCAACAGUUUGGGAGGCUGAAGUGGGAGGAUCGCUUGAGCCCAGGAGUUGGAGACCAGCCUGGGCAACACAGUGAGACCCCAUGUCGAUAAAAAAUAUAAAAAUUAGCUGGGCAUGGUGGUGCGUGCCUGUAGUCCCAGCUACUCCCAAGGCUGAGGCAGGAGGCUCUCCUAAGCUCAGGAGGUCCAGGCUGCAGUGAGCUGGGAUUGCACUACUGCAUGCCAGCCUGGGUGACGAUCAAGACUCUGCCCCCAUCCCCCAAAAAAAGAAAAGAAAAGAAGAAACGAACCAUAGCAACAUUAUGCCUAGAAGCCAAACGGUGGAAGCAACCGAAGUGUCCAUUGACGGAUGAAUGUGUAAACAAAAUGUGCUCUAUCCUACAAUGGAAUAUGAUGCAGCUUUGAAAAGGAAAGAAAGUCUGACACAUGUUCCAACAUGGAUGAUCUCUGAUGACCUUAUAUCAAGUGAAACAAGCCAGUCACAAAAGGACAAAGACUGCAUGAUUCCGCUUAUAUGAAGUCCUUAAAAGAGUCAAAUUCAUAGAAACAGAAAGUAGAAUGGUGGUUGCCAAGGACGGCGGAGGGAGGGGAAUGGGGGGUGAAUGUUUAACAGGAAUAGAGUUUCAGUUUUGCAAGAUGAAGGUCCUGGAGAUGGACGGUGGUGAUGGUUGCACAACGAUGUUAAUGUCCUUGACACUGAACUGUACACUUAGAAAUGGUUGAGAUGGUAAAUUUUAUGUUAUGUGUAUUUCACAAUUAACAGUUUAAAAGAAAUGAACCAACUUGGCUG